CUCAACCAAUGACCCUUUGACACAUCACCAAAAAAUAAAAGCUAAAGAGGCACAUAUAAUAAAAAAUCCAACAAAUGCCUAGGAGAAAGGUGGCCACUCUCAACGUCUCUCUGGAGUCUCUCUCCUCUCUCUCACUUCAAAAAAAAGAAAAAAAGAAAAAUCUUUUCUUCUUAAAAAGAAGGUCACCUCACCCACUUGGGACACUCUCUAAUCUCUCACACACGCGAAGAUGACUCGGUAACUGAAAAAACAAAAAAAAAAAAAAGAAAAAUGUUUCCUCUCCUCUUCAACCCUAAAUCGCCGCCACCCUCUUCUUCCUCACAAAAACCCUAGCCGCCACUCACCUUCAACCCGCCUCCACCCACCUUCACUCCACGAAAUCCUCACUCUCCAGCUUCCUCUUCCACAUACCGUCCCUCACCUUACGAACCUUACGAACCCUCAGCCACCACAAACCUCCAUCAUCUUCCACCAUCAAAGCACCACCGUUCAUCUCCUCCGUCCUCCACCAACACAAUCGUUCUUCAAGAUUCAUCACCAACACCGACAAACCGUCUCCACCACUCCAAAUACAAAUCCGCUCCACAUUCACUCAACAACAACUCCCAACUCACAGCCGUCGGACCUUCAUCAACAACGGUCUUCACCGUCUUUAUGUGUAGAUCUCGCGAAACCAUCACCAAGAAGUUUAGGGGUUUGUUGCGUACUCUUCUGUUUUUCAGGUACCGAUCUUGUUUUUCUCCAACAACCACACAACGACGUCGUCUCUCGUACACUCCGGCGACACCCCAGAUCCAAUCCCUUCCGCUUACGGUCCUGUUUGCCGGCACGAUUUAGACGAACAAAUUGGGGUUGUCGGUUCUUGGUUCACGGAAGUGUUCCGGCAAAGAGUUAACAGAAACACUUAACGUCUUCAAGACCCGAGCCAGCUGCGGAUGCUUGCAAUUGCAAGGGGAAGGAGAAGAAAUUCACUUGACUUUCAUCGAUAUUAACACAGGUAUUGUCGAUUUGCUUCUCACUUGAAAUGGUAGUUUCAUACAUGCCGAACAAAGCAAUCGUAAUGAAGUCACUUGUACAGAAUAUGAAUUUGGUUCUUUUGGUGAAAUGUUUUUUUUUCGGUAACAUUAGUCUGCUCUUCUUUGGUAACUAACUUUUUCAUCUAUGUUAAAUCUAUACAAUGUUGAAUCAUGGUUGUUUACUGUGAAUUGGGAUUCCAAGUUGAUAUGUCAAUUAACAUUGCCGUGUGAUAGCAGGAUGAAUGAACCGUUUUAUUUUCCUUAGCUCCUUUUUCAUUUGUUGGAUUUGUUUCACAUAAUAUGGUUGAGUGCUUAGUUUCUGCUGAUUUGUAGGUUACCGUGAAUAUUAAUAUGCAACAAUCAUGUAUUUUUUUUAUCAUUUACUCUGUAGGAUAUAAUGAAUGUUAAUAUAUAACAAUUAGGUAAUGUUUUUUGUUCUGUUAUAUGUCUUAUUGUUUUUUUCUAUUAUAUCAUGGUCUAGUGAGAACUUCACAUGUUAUGUAAUGGGUUAAUAAGGACUCUGUCACACAACUUGUAUUCCAUAUUUAGUUAGCUUCUAAGUCUUUAUGUAUUUAAAUAGAUAUUUGAUAAUAUGAUAAGUAAUAUUGGGUGUUACUCUUUAAA